GACGAACGCUGGCGGCGUGCUUAACACAUGCAAGUCGAACGGAAAGGCCCUGCUUUUGUGGGGUGCUCGAGUGGCGAACGGGUGAGUAACACGUGAGUAACCUGCCCUUGACUUUGGGAUAACUUCAGGAAACUGGGGCUAAUACCGGAUAGGAGCUCCUGCUGCAUGGUGGGGGUUGGAAAGUUUCGGCGGUUGGGGAUGGACUCGCGGCUUAUCAGCUUGUUGGUGGGGUAGUGGCUUACCAAGGCUUUGACGGGUAGCCGGCCUGAGAGGGUGACCGGCCACAUUGGGACUGAGAUACGGCCCAGACUCCUACGGGAGGCAGCAGUGGGGAAUAUUGCGCAAUGGGCGGAAGCCUGAUGCAGCAGCGCCGCGUGCGGGAUGACGGCCUUCGGGUUGUAAACCGCUUUCGCCUGUGACGAAGCGUGAGUGACGGUAAUGGGUAAGGAAGCACCGGCUAACUACGUG
rnacentral:rRNA from 1 species